rnacentral:rRNA from 1 species
AGUGAACGCUGGCGGUAGGCCUAACACAUGCAAGUCGAACGGCAGCACAGGAGAGCUUGCUCUCUGGGUGGCGAGUGGCGGACGGGUGAGGAGUACAUCGGAAUCUACUCUGUCGUGGGGGAUAACGUAGGGAAACUUACGCUAAUACCGCAUACGACCUACGGGUGAAAGCAGGGGACCUUCGGGCCUUGCGCGAUUGAAUGAGACGAUGUCGGAUUAGCUAGUUGGCGGGGUAAAGGCCCACCAAGGCGACGAUCCGUAGCUGGUCUGGGAGGAUGAUCAGCCACACUGGAACUGAGACACGGUCCAGACUCCUACGGGAGGCAGCAGUGGGGAAUAUUGGACAAUGGGCGCAAGCCUGAUCCAGCCAUACCGCGUGGGUGAAGAAGGCCUUCGGGUUGUAAAGCCCUUUUGUUGGGAAAGAAAUCCAGCUGGCUAAUACCCGGUUGGGAUGACGGUACCCAAAGAAUAAGCACCGGCUAACUUCGUGCCAGCCGCCGCCGUAA